rnacentral:pre_miRNA from 1 species
AUAAUACUCCCUUCGUCCGGAAUUACUUGUCAUCAAAAUGGAUGUGUCUAGAACUAAAAUACAUCUAGAUACAUCCAUUUCAAUGACAAGUAUUUUUGGAUGGAGAGAGUAGUAA